rnacentral:lncRNA from 10 species
UUGAAUUUGGUGUUCAAAUAGAAAAUAAAAGUGAGUUCUAUCAAAAGACACGAACUCUUAGUCUAUUGAGUCCCCAAAAUAAGGCUAAUGCCCUUUUCACUGUUUACCAUGUGUUUUGAUGCUAUGUAAAACCAGGCAAUAUUAUUUCUUAUCUAUGCAAAUGGAAUAGCAGUUUCUACUUUUGUCUAGGUCUCCUCAAGACUUAAUCUGUCGGGAAUUUUAUGUACCCAUGGUCGGCUUCAUCUGUCUUCCAGACAGAGUGAUAAAAAGUGGAAUCACAGCUAAUGGAGUCCCAUGCAGGUUACUGAUAGCUCCAAAGACUGGCCUAGAAACUGGCAAGCACUUUACAAGUUACUGGCAACAGAAAAUCUAA